AUCUAUAUCCCAAUUCGUGGACGAACCAAUGAUUUUAGUUGAGCCAAAGGCUUUCAGCAGUUAAUAGCACGAAAUUGUGUCUUUCCCUAGCGGACAUCGAAAAAACCACCAAAAGCAAAACCAAUCAUGAGUGAAGCCAAGAACCUGAUGACCACCUUCGGCAUCCUGGCCGUUCUGCUGUUCUUCCUUUACAUCAUUUAUGCCGUAUUGUAGACUUUUAUGGCCAGAAUAAGGUCUUUGGAGCAGGAUAUGAGCAACCACCACCAACAAAAACCACUCAAUCAAAAUGAAUGAAGCCAGGAGUCUGUUCACCACCUUCCUCAUCUUGGCCUUCCUGCUGUUCCUGCUCUAUGCCUUUUACGAAGCCGCCUUCUAAACCCAUCCCCCAAAACCAUCCAGUCCCAUCAUAACCAUCAAUAAAUCAAGGAUAGCAUACAUGUUGAAUUUCAAUUCCAAGCCCGCCCGUCCCGGCCAUGUCAAUAACAGCUUUUUGGCCAAGACGGCGGCGCUUCUAGGACCCUACGCGUUUAAGAUUUUUAGCAUUUAAUGGAUUUCUACUAGUAACCUAAGCGAGAUGACGUCAAAGCCACCAGCUGCCCAAAUCGGAGGCUCGCCGGCAUUUUUCGAUUCAGAUCAUUGCGAUGAUCGAUCGAUAACCCAUGCUGAGUGCGCCGCGCUAGAUUUCUUUCACCUUCGAGGCGCUGCAAGAACGAUCCAUUCUGAAGGCUCUGCUGCCGGUGUUGGCGUCAUCUGUUGUAAUCAUAAAUUUAUUUUGUGAUUUCAAUUUUAUUUCUACGUUUUUGUUUCGCAAUGGAAUUACUACUUAGUUUGCCAUUUAUAGACCAUGAUGUACAGUAUAAGAAAAUUGAGAACAACAUCAGAAAUCAAUUUAUUUCGCAUUCGUACUUAGUAAGAGAAACAUAAUUUGUAACUGCAUUUUACUUUUGUUUUAAUUUAUUGUGAAUAACAUAUGCACCACAACAAAAAAUGAGCAACAACAACAGCCCACUGCAGGAAAUAAAAAAACAAAAAACCACCUAA